rnacentral:rRNA from 1 species
GACAGAGGGUGCAAACGUUGUUCGGAAUUACUGGGCGUAAAGCGUGUGUAGGCGGCCAUAUAAGUCGGAUGUGAAAGCCCUGGGCUCAACCCAGGAAGUGCACUCGAUACUGUAUGGCUUGAGUACUGGAGAGGUUGGUGGAAUUCUCGGUGUAGAGGUGAAAUUCGUAGAUAUCGAGAGGAACACCGGUGGCGAAGGCGGCCAACUGGACAGAUACUGACGCUGAGACGCGAAAGCGUGGGGAGCAAACAGG